rnacentral:rRNA from 1 species
AACGUAGGAGACAAACGUUAUCCGGAGUUACUGGGCGUAAAGGGCGUGCAGGUGGUCAUUUAAGUUCGGCGUGAAAGCUCCUGGCUAAACCGGGAGAGGUCGUCGGAGACUGGAUGGCUAGAGGGUGAUAGAGGCGGGUGGAAUUCUGGGUGUAGUGGUGAAAUGCGUAGAGAUCCGGAGGAACACCAGUGGCGAAGGCGACCCGCUGGGUCACACCUGACACUGAGACGCGACAGCAUGGGGAGCGAACGGG